rnacentral:lncRNA from 10 species
CUCAUAGUGCACACGAUAAAAUUCCAGAAGACCGAGAAUGGCUGUUAGAUACAAUAGAAUGCUCUAAGAGUCACUAUCAAAAAUGAGCAUAUCAGUGCAUAAAAUGUGUGGUAGUUUAGCAGUUAUUUCAUUGUUUACCGUAGCUAAUGGAAGUCUUAAAAAGAAAAUGGAAGUGGAUAUAGAAAAUUGAAAGGAAACCACAUACUGGAAACAAUUCAAUAUGCCUACAAAAAUUGGUGUCCUCCAGUACAAAACAAUACAACAUCAAAUGGUUAUUUCUUAGAAACAUCAAAUAGUGCUAGGAUGACACUCGCAAAUGCUUGAGAACUUUGUCUAGAUGAGGAGCCAGUUGACCACGAUGCUUUAGAUGGGCAUAAGACCUCUCCAACAGAAGAUACUCCAUUAUAUCCUCAUUCAACAGGCUCUAUGUAUCAACAG